rnacentral:rRNA from 1 species
UACGAAGGGGGCUAGCGUUGCUCGGAAUCACUGGGCGUAAAGGGUGCGUAGGCGGGUCUUUAAGUCAGGGGUGAAAUCCUGGAGCUCAACUCCAGAACUGCCCUUGAUAACUGAGGAUCUUGAGUUCGGGAGAGGUGAGUGGAACUGCGAGUGUAAGAGGUGAAAUUCGUAGAUAUUCGCAAGAACACCAGUGGCGAAGGCGGCUCACUGGCCCGA